CUUAACCUUAAGUAGAGUCCGAGUGUGUAUGUGUCAGCUGUGGUUACGUAACGUUAUUUAUCAGGGCUGGGGAGAGACGCUGCAGCCACAGAGCUCGCGUGCUCGCGCUGACAUCAGCAGCACUAUUUACACCAGGGGUCCCCAACCCCCGGGCCGCGGCCCGGUACCGGUCCACGGCUUGGUUGGAACCGGGCCGCGGAAAAAAAGUGAAUAAAAAAAGUUGUAAUUUUUUUUUUUAAUCAGUCGGAAAAAUAUAUUAUUUUGAAAAAGGACCGGAUACACCCGUGUGUACGUCUGAGCCGCGUUCAGGAGUCUUAAAGUUCGGGUUUAUCGCUGCAGGCGAGUCUCACGCGCCGAACCCUCUGCUGGCGGCACAUUUCAGUGACAAAGAAUCAAUCUUAAAACAUAUUCAACCUGCUCAAUGAAUUCUGUCACUUCAGGGAAAUGACAACUGUUUUCAAGUUGGCCGAUAAAGUCGCUGCUGUGGUCGAGUGAACAGCGGAACAUUCUACAUGUUUCAGACGUUGACCGGGUGGAAGAGGCUUUUAAAAGAGUUUGAGCGGUACUCCAACCACAAAAGACCCGACUGCAAAAGAAUAGACCUGCAACCCAUUUGUAAACAAACCCACCCGGUGAAUCGAGCCCGUCCGAGCUAGAAGAAAAUGUGUUCGAGAUGCAAAUGACGGUGGCCUUAAGGGACAUUUCACACAACAACUCUGCCGGUGUUCUAAUGACAGCGACCAGAACUCGGUUAGGAGCAGCGGACCAAACACACGUCUGUGUCGCCGUCUCCAUUAGCGGCUCGUUGCAGCGCGUCGACCUCCAGCACCUCUGCUGUUGCUUUAAGGCACCAAUCACCCUCCAUACCGCAUGGUGGCACUCCUCUUGCUCCACCCCUCUCAAAUGGCAGUAUGAUGAAGGUCGAGGACACAGAAUGACACAGUUUUACAUUUAUCUAAAUGUUUUUCUCCUGCAUUUAAACUUUAUUUUUAAUUUUUUUUUUUUAUGCUUGCUCAUUCCUGUAUUCAACUCUGUUUUCUACAGGCUCUGUUUGCAGACACAACCUAAUGUUUCUGUGGAUUGCUCCACAUUGCAUGUGCUCAGAUGAGUGUUGCCCUCCAUGCUAGCUGCUGUAUGACUCCUUAGACCUCUACAGACUGGUAUUCACAUGUAUGUUGUAAAGAGAACCGUUUGGGUUACAUCAGAAGUGAAGACUCUAAGUUUGACUUUGACAUGCAUAGCCGAGUUAUCCACACUGGAAUGUUUUUUUUCCUUUUUUCUUGAAGCUGGUUUAUAUAUAUAUAGCCUUGAUUUUCCUGUUACCUCGAGAAGACAAAAUGUUAUAUAUGAUAUAUAUAUAUAUAGCCUUGAUUUUCCCAGCUCAACAUUUGACUUCUCAAGGUAAUGAGAAGACAUGUUGCAUCCUCUUAUUACUUCUGUGUGUCAGAGAUCAGGAAAAGCUGCAAUGUCAGCAUGAAGAGACAUGAGUGCACUGCAGUCACUCACAGCUAAUAAUGAACGUGCCGUGACUCCAUCCAGUUUUCACAAUCAGGCACUCAAAGAAAAAAAAAUUAUAUGGAAUAAAUGUAUAAAAAUAUAGGAAUUGGUUUAAAUUCAUAAAUAGUAUACAAUCUGCCACUUAUUAAGACAACAAAUAGCAUUCCAUUUUUAAAAUGAUAUUGGAGAAAUAAUGAAUUUGAGUUGAGGACACAACUCGAUUGUAUUUGUAUGAACCCUUUGUGAACACCUUAUUUUGAAAACUGGACGGAGUCACGCGUACAUGGUAAAUGGACCUGCACUUGUUCCAGCGCGGUCGUACAUUCAUGUAGUGCAUUCUUUAAAUAAACCAGGUAUUGUCAUGACUUGUCACGGUUGUCGCAGCGAGAGAGGACCCAAAUGCCGAAAUUUACUGAACAAACUAAUAUUUACUUCCAAAACUUCCAAAGACCAGACAAGAACGACAAAAACGCAGACCAAACAGUACGAAGCCACACUGGGAAUGAGACGAACAGGGUUUACAUACACAGGCAAGGUGAGAGGAUUGGACAACGAGACACAGGUGGACACAAUGAGGGCGGGGCCAGCAAUCACACAGAAGGAAACAAUCAGGAACAGGGCAGACAAUCACAGGGAGACAGACGACACAAGGACUUCAAAACAAGACACAAAACAAGACACAAACGACAGAUCAUGACAGGUCUCUGUGAAUAUGUGGGCUCAACAGUGCCUGUUGAGUGCCUUGGAUUGACCUCACGUCACAGAGUUCUCCUGAAGUCUUAUUUCAUCCAUCUUAUUUUCCUCAGACAGCCAGGGGCAUGCUGGGUAUUGGAGUAGUCUCUGGUCUAAGCUGGGUUAGUUUAUCACCCUUCUCAUCUCUCCUCCCUAGAGCAGUUCAGUGGUGUUUAGUUCAGCAUGUCUGGCUGGUUGGUCUGUGUUGAGUGUAUUCAGUCACAUGCCAUAAGUGCUCCAGAAACAAACAUACAAAUAAAAGCAAAUACAUGCGCUGCCAUAAGCAAGUCCCACCAAUCGGUUUCCACCACCAACAACCGGACCUCAAUGCUGCAGCUUCCAGGCUUUGAGGUCAGCUUUUCUUCAUGUUUAUGACAAACGGCAUAUGACAGGAUAUAUUCAUCAAGAUUGGGAAAGGAAGCGUGGGGAUUGAAGUGCUGCAGCCCUUUAAGAGGAUCACCGGCCGACCAACCAACCAGACCUGCUGGGCCAAACACCACCAAACUGGUCCAGGGAGGAGAGACAUGCUAACCCAGCUCGGACCUGAGGCUACUCCACAACGCAGCAUGCUCCUGGCUGUCUGAUGCCCCGCUCGCAGGAAAAUAGGAUAGAUGAAAGCAGCGGGCGGUUGGUGACUGUGAAGCCCACAUCUUCACAGAGACCUGGUUCCAUCCUGGUCCAGGAUCAAGCAGCUCAGAGAUCAGGACUCUGGGGGGUACGAGAGGAGGUGGACUCUGUGUUUACAUCAUGAUGCUGCUACUCAAACAUAUGGAAAGUUGAUGGACAAUGUUUUCGUGAUGCCAAGCUUUUUAUAAUGUCUGACAUAAUAUCUGAAGUGUUGAAUAAUGACAAUAAAAGGCCACAAUCUGAACAGGCGCCUGCUGCCAGUAAAAUGUAUAGUUUAACCAGAACUAGGACAUUAUUUGAUGUCUGAACACUGAAAAGAAGGAAUCCUCUUGCUCUGUUAUUUUUAAACAUAAAGGGCAUACAAAUCCAGAA